ACACAUUACGCGUGGCGCUGUAGGACAAGCCUUACGUAUCCAUAUAAGUGUACAUACAGAAUUAUAAAAUCACACUGUUACUAUUGUCGCACUUCUCGCACUUGAUCACAUUACUUUGUCGCAUCAAAAAGCAAACUGCGCUUUUUUCAUUUCAUUAUGUCCUUUUCUUUGUAGAGUUGACAUUAGUAUUUCUUUGCGAAGUGCGCGUCGGUCGUGUUUUUGCGCGUGGGACUGAACUUAUUUAAAAUCAAUAGAAAUAAUUGUCUCUUUCUGAAGAAAUAAAUUUGUUUAACCAUUAUUGGGCUAACUUAAUCAAAUGCACAUACUAUCCGCAAUACAUAUUUCUCGGUCAUAACUUUGCCAGCUGUGCAAAAUCAAGAUGUGUACAUACACAUUGUAUGCAUGCAUGUACAUAUGUAUAAAGUCUCCAAACCAAGCACUUGCUUUUGCCGCGCUUCUCGCACCUCAUCACAUUGCAUUAAUCCGAAAUAUACUAACGGCGCUGGGUUUGUUUUUUUCGCGGAUCGAAAUCAUUUAAAAUCAGUUCUAAUAAAGUGCUUUCCGCAAUCAAACUAACAUUUUGCUUUGCGCGUUUCCCUGUCUUUUUUCUUGUUUCCCGCUUUUGUGCGUGAGUCUGUUUAAUUUCUGAAAAAAUGCAAAUUAAAUGUAAAUAAAAUGCAAAUAAGACUUGCAACUAUUUGCACAAUAGCUUUUAAUCGUUUCCGCUCAUUUUAUUCGUACUACGUAUAACUUCGAUCCGAACUUCUCUUUGGUGCAAAUUUGUGUCGAAUCUUAUUAUACACUUUACACAUACAUAUGUAUGUUCAUAUAUGCAAAAUUGUAAAACAGUGUAAAAAAUAUUUCGUUUCCGAUUUCACGUCAUAAACAUAACAGGACUUUAACUGCUAGGUGCAUGUGCGCAUGUGUGUUCAUUGCGCAGACAUACAUAAAGUACCGAAAGUUUAUCUUCAUGCAACAAUUUAAAUUUAAUCUAAAUAAGUAAUGUAGUGGUCACAAGUCUUACAAAUUUGAAUGUGGUUUAUUCGCGACUGACGCAAGAUGAUGUUGCAAACUGGCAACUAAGCAACAACAACAGCAACAUCCAGCGACGAGUGUCAUUGACUAAUGUUGCAUGCAGCGCAUAAAGCUGGUAAAAGGUAACCGCAAUAACCAAAAAUUCAAUCAACGGAAACCCAAGACCGAAACAAUAGAAGCGAAUUUGCUGUUUUUUAGCAAAGCGCAAAAAGUCUUGGAGAUGAUCUAAGUCCAGGCCACAUAUAAAUAAAUAAUAAUAGUAUUAUUUUGAUGUAUAAUGGAUAACUGAUUAUAUUCAUAAUAACUAAAAAUAAAUAAUAAAAACUUAUAAUUUAAAGGACGAAAUCAUUUUUUGUGCUAGUAAAUAUUAUUAUUCGAGAAGUAAAAUGUUUCGAGCGGGGUCAUCGGGGCAGGAGCUUCAAAAGGGGAGAUGACAAAGUUUUUGAGUCUGCAAAUAGUUGAGGGUGAGGUGUGCAUUUAUAUAUGUAAAUAGUAGGCUGACAUUUGCCGACAACGUGAAAGGGCA